rnacentral:rRNA from 1 species
UACAGAGGGUGCAAGCGUUAAUCGGAAUUACUGGGCGUAAAGCGUGCGCAGGCGGUUUUGUAAGUCUGAUGUGAAAUCCCCGGGCUCGACCUGGGAAUUGCAUUGGAGACUGCAAGGCUAGAAUCUGGCAGAGGGGGGUAGAAUUCCACGUGUAGCAGUGAAAUGCGUAGAGAUGUGGAGGAACACCGAUGGCGAAGGCAGCCCCCUGGGUCAAGAUUGACGCUCAUGCACGAAAGCGUGGGGAGCAAACAGG